CAUGUCUAAGUACAAGCGAAAAUAAAGUGAAACCGCAAAAGGCUCAUUAUAUCAGUUAUGGUUCAUUAGAUCGUAUCCACAAUUACUUGGAUAACUGUGGUAAUUCUAGAGCUAAUACAUGCAAUUAAAGAGAAACCAGUAAAAUGGGAUCUCUGCUUUUAUUAGAUUUAAACCAAUGGGGAUUGCUUCGGCUUUCUCAAACCAAAUGGUUGAACUCUGGAUAAUUUGUUGAUCGCAUGGUCUUGUACCGGCGACAGAUCUUUCAAAUGUCUGCCCUAUCAACUAUUGAAGGUAGUGUCUUGGACUACCUUGGUUGCAACGGGUAACGGGGAAUCAGGGUUCGAUUCCGGAGAGGGAGCCUGAGAAACGGCUACCACAUCUAAGGAAGGCAGCAGGCGCGUAAAUUACCCACUCCCGGCACGGGGAGGUAGUGACGAAAAAUAACAAUACAAGACUCACAUCCGAGGCCUUGUAAUUGGAAUGAGUACACUUUAAAUCCUUUAACGAGGAUCAAUUGGAGGGCAAGUCUAGUGCCAGCAGCCGCGGUAAUUCUAGCUCCAAUAGCGUAUAUUAAAGUUGUUGCGGUUAAAACGUUCGUAGUUGAACUUGUGUUUCGCACGGGCAGCACCUAGGACUAGGUAACUAGGACGGUGUUUUGUCUUAUCUUUCCUCUACCCUUUAUAGGGUUUUGGAAAAAGUGCGUGAACGUAUUAUCGGCGUGUUCACUUCUAUUUUAUAGAUGUGUUCACAUAAGCCCAUUUCAGUCCUCUUCACCGAGUGUUGUUGUGGGCCGAUACAAAUUACUUUGAACAAAUUAGAGUGCUUAAAGCAGGCUUGUAAUGCCUGAAUAUUUGUGCAUGGAAUAAUGAAAUAGGACAUCUGUUCUACUUUCAUUGGUUUUUUAGACCAAGAUGUAAUGAUUAAUGGAAGCAGUUGGGGGCAUUAGUAUUACAACGCGAGAGGUGAAAUUCUUAGACCGUUGUAAGACUGACUAAAGCGAAAGCAUUUGCCAAAGAUGUUUUCAUUUAAUCAAGAACGAAAGU
rnacentral:rRNA from 1 species